UUGAACGCUGGCGGCAUGCCUUACACAUGCAAGUCGAACGGCAGCAUAGGAGCUUGCUCCUGAUGGCGAGUGGCGAACGGGUGAGUAAUAUAUCGGAACGUGCCCUAGAGUGGGGGAUAACUAGUCGAAAGACUAGCUAAUACCGCAUACGAUCUACGGAUGAAAGUGGGGGAUCGCAAGACCUCAUGCUCCUGGAGCGGCCGAUAUCUGAUUAGCUAGUUGGUGGGGUAAAAGCCUACCAAGGCAACGAUCAGUAGCUGGUCUGAGAGGACGACCAGCCCACUGGGACUGAGACACGGCCCAGACUCCUACGGGAGGCAGCAGUGGGGAAUUUUGGACAAUGGGGGCAACCCUGAUCCAGCAAUGCCGCGUGAGUGAAGAAGUCCUUCGGGUUGUAAAGCUCUUUUGUCAGGGAAGAAACGGUAGUAGCGAAUAACUAUUACUAAUGCCGGUACCUGAAGAAUAAGCACCGGCUAACUACGUGCCAGCAGCCGCGGUAAUACGUAGGGUGCAAGCGUUAAUCGGAAUUACUGGGCAAAGCGUGCGCAGGCGGUUGUGUAAGUCAGAUGUGAAAUCCCCGGGCUCAACCUGGG
rnacentral:rRNA from 1 species